UCCGGUUUGACACCGGCAGUCUCCCUAGAGUGCCCGGCAUAACCCGCUGGUAACUAGGGACGAGGGUUGCGCUCGUUGCGGGACUUAACCCAACAUCUCACGACACGAGCUGACGACAGCCAUGCAGCACCUGUGCACGGACUCCGAAGAGGGGCCGAUGUUUCCACCGGCUUUCCCGUGCAUGUCAAGCCUGGGUAAGGUUCUUCGGGUCGCAUCGAAUUAAGCCGCAUGCUCCGCCGCUUGUGCGGGGACCCGUCAAUUCCUUUGAGUUUUAAUCUUGCGACCGUACUCCCCAGGCGGGAUGCUUAAUACGUUAGCUGCGCCACCGAAGAGCAAGCUCCCCGACGGCUAGCAUCCAUCGUUUACGGCGUGGACUAC
rnacentral:misc_RNA from 1 species